CCCCCCUCCCCCUCACGUCCUGCAUAUCAGAGGAGCUCAAGAAACAAAUUCGCUCAGCACAUAUUGGGUUGUCUCAGAUCUAGGGAUGAACUCGCCGGUCAGUCUCAUACUCGAUCGUUCUCGAUCAUUUUCACCCCAUAUUACAAAUGAUCGACUUUGAUCCAACCUUGAAUCUCUUGGCUGGCCGGGUUCUUAUCUUGUUCGCUUCUGAGAUCAAGAGCGGAGCAAACCCAAACUAGAUUACAUUCAUUCAUCUGGUUUCCAUCAGUUGAGGGAGCUCAGUGGAAGAAUCGGAGCAAGCCACAAUGGAAGUCGCGAAUCCUAUUCCAAUUCC